rnacentral:rRNA from 1 species
GCUUGCUUUCUUUGCUGGCGACCGGCGCACGGGUGAGUAACACGUAUCCAACCUACCCUUUACUCGGGGAUAGCCUUUCAAAAGAAAGAUUAAUACCCGAUAGCAUAAUGAUUCCGCAUGGUUUCAUUAUUAAAGGAUUCCGGUAAAGGAUGGGGAUGCGUUCCAUUAGGUUGUUGGUGGGGUAACGGCCCACCAAGCCUUCGAUGGAUAGGGGUUCUGAGAGGAAGGUCCCCCACAUUGGAACUGAGACACGGUCCAAACUCCUACGGGAGGCAGCAUG